rnacentral:lncRNA from 1 species
AUUCCCCUCACGUGUGGCCUUAAAGAGUUCUAUAUUCUUUUGCUAAGUCAGACUUGGCUUUUACCAGUUUGUUAGCGAUUUCAGCUAAAAUUUUCUUACUCGUAUCUGACAGUGUCUGCCUCAGAGCUCUGUCCAGUUGCUCCAAGCUUUACUGGUUGCACUCUAGGUCUGCUGCACAUCUACACGGAUAUCACCUGGAGAGGAGCUGUUUAAUGCCCUUCAGACUGGUGGAAGAUAGGAAAGAGAAACACAGACUGAAAUUUAACUCUUAUCUCUUUGUACUUCAUUUCAAUUCCUGGAAAUAUUGGUCCCUUUGCUCCCAAUAUUUACUUAAAGUGUGGAUCUCCCAUCCUUGACAAUGGAAACUAAUAAGAAAUAUCAUAAAUGCUGAACACAUUGUGAAGGUUAUUAAAAGUCUUAAGUGUUUAGCUCCAGCUAUUUAAAAACUAUUAUGCUGUCUUUGAAACAAAUAUUUCUCAGUGUUGUCAUCCUUGGGUUUUGUUUCUUUAUAGGUUCCACUAUAACUCCUUGUCCAAUUCCUAUCACAGUUGAGCAUAUCCUAUUAUUGUUGUAUUAACAUAUCCUUAACACAAUAACAUUGUAUUAAGUAACUAAUUUUUUCCUGAAAUGCAUCAAUAUGUGAAUUUGAAUUUUAUCAUUUUGUCACCACUACAAAAAACACAUUUUGUUUUCUAGCCCUAACUUUUAAAAAAUUAGCCACAUCACUAAACACUGUUCACUAAGUAAUGAAGAUGAAUAAGAAACCAUGAUUCCUAGUUUAAUAAUAAUAAAUAUUAUAUUGCCUUGCAGUUUACAGAAGACUUUCAUAUAUGUUCUCUCAUGUGAUCAUGUCAUCUCCUCCCAAAAUCUCAGGAGGAAAGCAUAGAUUAGAAAUCAUAAUUUGAAAACGAAAAAACCAAGAUGCAUAGAAGUUAGUGGCUUGCCCUUACUGCUCCUGAAAAUUAGGGCCAUAUAUAGAACAUAUGUGGUCUCAAUAUGUUUCAAUCAGACUAAAUGAGUUUACGCUGUGUACCAACAUCCCAGGAGCUUAACACAUUAAAAGUUUAUUUCUCACUCACACAAAGUCCACUCUGAGUCUGGG